GCAAUUAGUUUUAUACAUGCGAGUUAAAUUAUUCCAGGAAUAAUAGCAGACGAGUGAGUAGAAAAAUGGAACAUACUUACUAUUUGGAAGAGAUCUCCAAUAGUAAAUACACAGUAUUUACGAAAGAUUAAAUCGAUAGUAAAUUGGCCAUUUCAAAAUUAGGUAGUUGGUAAAUUAAAAGCUUACCAAGCCAAAGAUUUUUAACUAAUUUUUAUGAAUGAUUAGUCACGAUGGAACUGAGAACGGUCCAUAUACAUAAAGUAGCAGCAGUAGAGAAUAUUUGACAAUGGACGAAAGUCUGAUCAAGCUAAAUUGCGUGAAGUAAUUUUUAACUUAAUUAAAAUAAUGAUCAAAUUAAGAAGUAGUUCUGGCUAAUCAUGUGCCAGCAGCCGCGGUAAUACAUGAAGAACAAGCAUUAUUUAGAAUAACUAGGUGUAAAGAGUAUUAAGGCGACAUAACAAGAUUAAUCUGAAAGCCCAAAGCUUAACUUUGGAAGCGGUUAAUGACUAGUAUGUUAGAGUUUGAAAGGAUGAAAAUGGAAUGUUUGGUGUAAAGGUAAAAUUUGUUGAUAUCAGAAGGAACACCUAAAGCGUAAACAAUUUUCAACUAAAGACUGACGCUGAUAUACGAAAGCUAAGGGAGUAAAUGGGGAUUAGUUACCCCAGUAAUCUUAGCCGUCAACGAUGAGUGUUAAAUUUUCUAUAUACUAAUAUGGGAGUUACAGUUAACACGUUAAACACUCCACCUGGGUACUACGAUCGCAAGAUUAAAACUCAAAGGAAUAGACGGGAACUUAUUAAAGCGGUGGAACAUGUAAAUUAAUUCGAUAACACACGCAAAAUCCUACCAAUCUUUGUAUAAAAAUAUACUAUUUUUAUCCAAAAGAUAGAUAUAGCAUAUUUUAACAGGUACUGCAUGGUUGUCGUCAGCUCGUGAUGUGAAUUGUAGGGUUAACUCCUGAAACGAGCGGAACUCUCAUUAUUAAUUACAAUUUAAUAAAACGGCCUAUGAUAAAUAGGAGGAAGGUGAGAACUACGUCAAAUACUCAUGGUCCAAAUAGAUUAGGGCUAAUUAUGUGUUACAAUGAUAGUUACAAAAAGAAGCAAUCAUGUAAAUGAAAGCGAAUCUUGAAAAAUUAUCUCAGUACGGAUGUUUGUCUGAAAUUCGACAAACGGAAGAUGGAAUCGCUAGUAAUCAUAGAUCAGCAUGCUAUGGUGAAUUAAAAAUAAAGUUCUGUACUUACUGCCCGUCAAACCUAUUAAAGUUAAAACUAUUGGAAAUAAAUUUAGUAAUUAACUUAUAGAUAUAUGGGAAAUUCGUGAAAUUUCAAGUUAUGUUAGU
rnacentral:rRNA from 1 species